CCUACGGGAGGCAGCAGUGGGGAAUAUUGCACAAUGGGCGCAAGCCUGAUGCAGCGACGCCGCGUGCGGGAUGGAGGCCUUCGGGUUGUAAACCGCUUUUGAUCGGGAGCAAGCCCUUCGGGGUGAGUGUACCUUUCGAAUAAGCACCGGCUAACUACGUGCCAGCAGCCGCGGUAAUACGUAGGGUGCAAGCGUUAUCCGGAAUUAUUGGGCGUAAAGGGCUCGUAGGCGGUUCGUCGCGUCCGGUGUGAAAGCCCAUCGCUUAACGGUGGGUCUGCGCCGGGUACGGGCGGGCUGGAGUGCGGUAGGGGAGACUGGAAUUCCCGGUGUAACGGUGGAAUGUGUAGAUAUCGGGAAGAACACCAAUGGCGAAGGCAGGUCUCUGGGCCGUCACUGACGCUGAGGAGCGAAAGCGUGGGGAGCGAACAGGAUUAGAUACCCUGGUAGUCCACGCCGUAAACGGUGGAUGCUGGAUGUGGGGCCCGUUCCACGGGUUCCGUGUCGGAGCUAACGCGUUAAGCAUCCCGCCUGGGGAGUACGGCCGCAAGGCUAAAACUCAAAGAAAUUGACGGGGGCCCGCACAAGCGGCGGAGCAUGCGGAUUAAUUCGAUGCAACGCGAAGAACCUUACCUGGGCUUGACAUGUUCCCGACAGCCGUAGAGAUAUGGCCUCCCUUCGGGGCGGGUUCACAGGUGGUGCAUGGUCGUCGUCAGCUCGUGUCGUGAGAUGUUGGGUUAAGUCCCGCAACGAGCGCAACCCUCGCCCUGUGUUGCCAGCACGUCAUGGUGGGAACUCACGGGGGACCGCCGGGGUCAACUCGGAGGAAGGUGGGGAUGACGUCAGAUCAUCAUGCCCCUUACGUCCAGGGCUUCACGCAUGCUACAAUGGCCGGUACAGCGGGAUGCGACAUGGCGACAUGGAGCGGAUCCCUGAAAACCGGUCUCAGUUCGGAUUGGAGUCUGCAACCCGACUCCAUGAAGGCGGAGUCGCUAGUAAUCGCGGAUCAGCAACGCCGCGGUGAAUGCGUUCCCGGGCCUUGUACACACCGCCCGUCAAGUCAUGAAAGUGGGCAGCACCCGAAGCCGGUGGCCUAACCCCUUGUGGGAUGGAGCCGUCUAAGGUGAGGCUCGUGAUUGGGACUAAGUCGUAACAAGGUAGCCGUACCGGAAGGUGCGGCUG
rnacentral:rRNA from 2 species